rnacentral:rRNA from 1 species
UACGGAGGGGGCUAGCGUUGUUCGGAAUUACUGGGCGUAAAGCGCACGUAGGCGGCCUGUUAAGUCGGGUGUGAAAGCCCUGGGCUCAACCCAGGAAGUGCACUCGAAACUGGCGGGCUUGAAUAUGGAAGAGGGUCGCGGAAUUCCCGGUGUAGAGGUGAAAUUCGUAGAUAUCGGGAGGAACACCAGUGGCGAAGGGCGGCGACCUGGGCCAAUAUUGACGCUGA